GAUGAACGCUGGCGGCGUGCUUAACACAUGCAAGUCGAACGGAAAGGCCAGUGCUUGCACUGGUGCUCGAGUGGCGAACGGGUGAGUAACACGUGGGUGAUCUGCCCUGCACUUUGGGAUAAGCCUGGGAAACUGGGUCUAAUACCAGAUAGGACCAUGCUUUGGAUGGUGUGGUGGAAAGUUUUUUCGGUGUGGGAUGAGCUUGCGGCCUAUCAGCUUGUUGGUGGGGUAAUGGCCUACCAAGGCGUCGACGGGUAGCCGGCCUGAGAGGGUGUACGGCCACAUUGGGACUGAGAUACGGCCCAGACGCCUACGGGAGGCAGCAGUGGGGAAUAUUGCACAAUGGGCGCAAGCCUGAUGCAGCGACGCCGCGUGGGGGAUGACGGCCUUCGGGUUGUAAACUCCUUUCGCAACUGACGAAGCUUUUUGUGACGGUAGGUUGAGAAGAAGCACCGGCUAACUACGUG
rnacentral:rRNA from 1 species